UACGAAGGGGGCUAGCGUUGCUCGGAAUCACUGGGCGUAAAGCGCACGUAGGCGGAUCUUUAAGUCAGGGGUGAAAUCCUGGAGCUCAACUCCAGAACUGCCUUUGAUACUGAGGAUCUUGAGUACGGGAGAGGUGAGUGGAACUGCGAGUGUAGAGGUGAAAUUCGUAGAUAUUCGCAAGAACACCAGUGGCGAAGGCGGCUCACUGGCCCGUAACUGACGCUGAGGCACGAAAGCGUGGGGAGCAAACAGG
rnacentral:rRNA from 1 species